GGGUUGUGAGGUUAAGCGACUAAGCGUACACGGUGGAUGCCCUGGCAGUCAGAGGCGAUGAAGGACGUGCUAAUCUGCGAAAAGCGUCGGUAAGGUGAUAUGAACCGUUAUAACCGGCGAUGUCCGAAUGGGGAAACCCAGUGUGAUUCGUCACACUAUCGUUAACUGAAUACAUAGGUUAACGAGGCGAACCGGGGGAACUGAAACAUCUAAGUACCCCGAGGAAAAGAAAUCAACCGAGAUUCCCCCAGUAGCGGCGAGCGAACGGGGAGCAGCCCAGAGUCUGAAUCAGCUUGUGUGUUAGUGGAACGGUCUGGAAAGUCCGACGGUACAGGGUGAUAGUCCCGUACACCAAAAUGCACAGGCUGUGAACUCGAAGAGUAGGGCGGGACACGUGGUAUCCUGUCUGAAUAUGGGGGGACCAUCCUCCAAGGCUAAAUACUCCUGACUGACCGAUAGUGAACCAGUACCGUGAGGGAAAGGCGAAAAGAACCCCGGCGAGGGGAGUGAAAAAGAACCUGAAACCGUGUACGUACAAGCAGUGGGAGCACCUUCGGGUGUGACUGCGUACCUUUUGUAUAAUGGGUCAGCGACUUAUAUUCUGUAGCAAGGUUAACCGUAUAGGGGAGCCGCAGGGAAACCGAGUCUUAACUGGGCGUUAAGUUGCAGGGUAUAGACCCGAAACCCGGUGAUCUAGCCAUGGGCAGGUUGAAGGUUGGGUAACACUAACUGGAGGACCGAACCGACUAAUGUUGAAAAAUUAGCGGAUGACUUGUGGCUGGGGGUGAAAGGCCAAUCAAACCGGGAGAUAGCUGGUUCUCCCCGAAAGCUAUUUAGGUAGCGCCUCGUGAACUCAUCUUCGGGGGUAGAGCACUGUUUCGGCUAGGGGGUCAUCCCGACUUACCAACCCGAUGCAAACUACGAAUACCGAAGAAUGUUAUCACGGGAGACACACGGCGGGUGCUAACGUCCGUCGUGAAGAGGGAAACAACCCAGACCGCCAGCUAAGGUCCCAAAGUCAUGGUUAAGUGGGAAACGAUGUGGGAAGGCACAGACAGCCAGGAUGUUGGCUUAGAAGCAGCCAUCAUUUAAAGAAAGCGUAAUAGCUCACUGGUCGAGUCGGCCUGCGCGGAAGAUGUAACGGGGCUAAACCAUGCACCGAAGCUGCGGCAGCGACACUAUGUGUUGUUGGGUAGGGGAGCGUUCUGUAAGCCUGCGAAGGUGACCUGUGAGGGUUGCUGGAGGUAUCAGAAGUGCGAAUGCUGACAUAAGUAACGAUAAAGCGGGUGAAAAGCCCGCUCGCCGGAAGACCAAGGGUUCCUGUCCAACGUUAAUCGGGGCAGGGUGAGUCGACCCCUAAGGCGAGGCCGAAAGGCGUAGUCGAUGGGAAACAGGUUAAUAUUCCUGUACUUGGUGUUACUGCGAAGGGGGGACGGAGAAGGCUAUGUUAGCCGGGCGACGGUUGUCCCGGUUUAAGCAUGUAGGCUGAUUGUCCAGGCAAAUCCGGAUAAUCAAGGCUGAGGUGUGAUGACGAGGCACUACGGUGCUGAAGUAACAAAUGCCCUGCUUCCAGGAAAAGCCUCUAAGCAUCAGGUAACAUUAAAUCGUACCCCAAACCGACACAGGUGGUCAGGUAGAGAAUACCAAGGCGCUUGAGAGAACUCGGGUGAAGGAACUAGGCAAAAUGGUGCCGUAACUUCGGGAGAAGGCACGCUGGUGUGUAGGUGAAGUCCCUGCGGAUGGAGCUGAGACCAGUCGAAGAUACCAGCUGGCUGCAACUGUUUAUUAAAAACACAGCACUGUGCAAACACGAAAGUGGACGUAUACGGUGUGACGCCUGCCCGGUGCCGGAAGGUUAAUUGAUGGGGUUAUCCGUAAGGAGAAGCUCUUGAUCGAAGCCCCGGUAAACGGCGGCCGUAACUAUAACGGUCCUAAGGUAGCGAAAUUCCUUGUCGGGUAAGUUCCGACCUGCACGAAUGGCGUAAUGAUGGCCAGGCUGUCUCCACCCGAGACUCAGUGAAAUUGAACUCGCUGUGAAGAUGCAGUGUACCCGCGGCAAGACGGAAAGACCCCGUGAACCUUUACUAUAGCUUGACACUGAACAUUGAGCCUUGAUGUGUAGGAUAGGUGGGAGGCUUUGAAGCGUGGACGCCAGUCUGCGUGGAGCCAACCUUGAAAUACCACCCUUUAAUGUUUGAUGUUCUAACGUUGGCCCCUGACCGGGGUUGCGGACAGUGUCUGGUGGGUAGUUUGACUGGGGCGGUCUCCUCCCAAAGCGUAACGGAGGAGCACGAAGGUUAGCUAAUCCUGGUCGGACAUCAGGAGGUUAGUGCAAUGGCAUAAGCUAGCUUGACUGCGAGCGUGACGGCGCGAGCAGGUGCGAAAGCAGGUCAUAGUGAUCCGGUGGUUCUGAAUGGAAGGGCCAUCGCUCAACGGAUAAAAGGUACUCCGGGGAUAACAGGCUGAUACCGCCCAAGAGUUCAUAUCGACGGCGGUGUUUGGCACCUCGAUGUCGGCUCAUCACAUCCUGGGGCUGAAGUAGGUCCCAAGGGUAUGGCUGUUCGCCAUUUAAAGUGGUACGCGAGCUGGGUUUAGAACGUCGUGAGACAGUUCGGUCCCUAUCUGCCGUGGGCGCUGGAGAAUUGAGGGGGGCUGCUCCUAGUACGAGAGGACCGGAGUGGACGCAUCACUGGUGUUCGGGUUGUCAUGCCAAUGGCACUGCCCGGUAGCUAAAUGCGGAAGAGAUAAGUGCUGAAAGCAUCUAAGCACGAAACUUGCCCCGAGAUGAGUUCUCCCUGAGACUUUAAGUCUCCUGAAGGAACGUUAAAGACGAUGACGUUGAUAGGCCGGGUGUGUAAGCGCAGCGAUGCGUUGAGCUAACCGGUACUAAUGAACCGUGAGGCUUAACCUUACAACGCCGAAG
rnacentral:rRNA from 1 species